GCUUGCACCGGAUGGAUGAGUUGCGAACGGGUGAGUAACGCGUAGGUAACCUACCUCAUAGCGGGGGAUAACUAUUGGAAACGAUAGCUAAUACCGCAUAAUAGUCAUUAACACAUGUUAGAGACUUGAAAGGGGCAAAUGCUUCACUAUGAGAUGGACCUGCGUUGUAUUAGCUAGUUGGUGAGGUAAAGGCUCACCAAGGCGACGAUACAUAGCCGACCUGAGAGGGUGAUCGGCCACACUGGGACUGAGACACGGCCCAGACUCCUACGGGAGGCAGCAGUAGGGAAUCUUCGGCAAUGGGGGAAACCCUGACCGAGCAACGCCGCGUGAGUGAAGAAGGUUUUCGGAUCGUAAAGCUCUGUUGUUAGAGAAGAACGUGUGUGAGAGUGGAAAGUUCACACAGUGACGGUAACUAACCAGAAAGGGACGGCUAACUACGUGCCAGCAGCCGCGGUAAUACGUAGGUCCCGAGCGUUGUCCGGAUUUAUUGGGCGUAAAGCGAGCGCAGGCGGUUCUGUAAGUCUGAAGUUAAAGGCAGUGGCUUAACCAUUGUACGCUUUGGAAACUGCAGGACUUGAGUGCAGAAGGGGAGAGUGGAAUUCCAUGGGUUAGCCGGUGAGGA
rnacentral:rRNA from 1 species